UACGAAGGGGGCUAGCGUUGCUCGGAAUCACUGGGCGUAAAGCGCACGUAGGCGGAUUGUUAAGUCAGGGGUGAAAUCCUGGAGCUCAACUCCAGAACUGCCUUUGAUACUGGCGAUCUUGAGUCCGGGAGAGGUGAGUGGAACUGCGAGUGUAGAGGUGAAAUUCGUAGAUAUUCGCAAGAACACCAGUGGCGAAGGGCGGCUCACUGGCCCGGUACUGACGCUGAGGUGCGAAAGCGUGGGGAGCAAACAGG
rnacentral:rRNA from 1 species